GUUUCCGUAGGUGAACCUGCGGAAGGAUCAUUGCACACACGAUGCAGCCAACCCGCGGCGAACGAACCCAUUGUCCCCCCGGUCGGGUCGCGACGCGGCGCCCUCGCGGCGGCGCGGCGCGUGCCCGGCCACCACCUCGCGGCGCGAGCUCCUCGCGGGCUCGUGGCGCGUGGUGUUUCCACGAUGCGCACACCGAGUGAAUGACUGAGUCCCGAUGGUUCGACUCGCGACGGGCGCGAGCGCCGCGCGCGCUGGUGCCUUGGUGCGAGUGGAGCCGGAGUUGAAAGGUAUAACCAAAACAACUCUCAGCAACGGAUAUCUUGGCUCUUGCAACGAUGAAGAACGCAGCGAAAUGCGAUACGUAGUGUGAAUUGCAGAAUUCCGCGAAUCAUCGAGUCUUUGAACGCAAGUUGCGCCCGAGGCUUGUCCGAGGGCAUUUCCGCUAGAGCGUCACCGCGCCCCCCACCGACCCACUCCCGCCGCGGCGCGGAUGGGUUCGAGUGAAAGUGGCCGUCCCGGCGCGCCCUCUCGCGAGGGCGCCAAGGGUGGGCUGAAAUGGAUGCAACGGGGUCGCCGUGGCGACGCAGUCCGCGAUCGGGUGAUGUCCCGGGCCUCGCAAGGAGCCCGUGAUUUUUUCUAAGUGCGUGUCUGCGUCCCCCAGUCGGUUCCCCUGGCUCGUGCAGGUCGAGCGCGCCCCCCGCGGCGCGCGUCACGCAUCAGACCUCUAAUCGGAAAAGACCACCCGCUGAG
rnacentral:rRNA from 1 species